rnacentral:pre_miRNA from 1 species
AAAGUACUCCCUCCGUCCCAAAAUUCUUGUCUUAGAUUUGUCUAGAUACGGAUGUAUCAAGUCACAUUUUAGUAUUAGAUACAUCUGCAUCUAGACAAAUCUAAGACAAGAAAUUUGGGACAGAGGGAGUAGUUG